rnacentral:tRNA from 1 species
GGCCCCUUGGUCAAGCGGUUAAGACACCGCCCUUUCACGGCGGUAACAGGAGUUCGAUUCUCCUAGGGGUCACCA